rnacentral:lncRNA from 1 species
GAUAGAGAGACGAGAGACUGGGGGUCUCGGAUUUAGCUCUGGAACAGCCCUCCGGGCGCUCCAGGACUCCACGUAACAGAGGAGGAAACUGAGGCCCGGCUCGUCAGUCAGUGGAUGCAGCCCCUUGCCGCCCCCGCCCCUGGCACCACGUGCUCCGUCAGUCCCAGCCGGGGCAGGGGAGCUAGGAGGCCUCGGGCGUCCCGGGCCAAGGCCCCCAGCGGGUGGGGCGGGGCGUGCGGGGAGGGGCAGAACGGCCUCAGAGCGCAGGCCUCGGCCUCAGGCCCCGCCCCCCCCCGCGCGCUCUCGGUCGCCCCGCCCCCGGCUCCGCCCCGCCGCCGCCGCGGGCGCGCGCGUGUCAGGCGCCUCGGCAGCCGCCAUUUUGGAGUGAGUCGGCCCGAACCCCGAGCCCGCGGCGGAGCCGGUGAGGCCUGCGGCGGCGGCGGCGGCGGCGGCGGCGGCGGCGGCGGCGGUGGCGGCGGUGACGGAGCCGCGGAGCCCGAGGAGUGCCCGGAGCCCGGCGCCGAGGCCGAGGCGCAGCAUGGAUUAUUCCUUUUUGGAGCUUGUCGCGUUUCUUCCUCAAGGCCCUUCCUGAGUCCCCGACUGCAUGGGCGACUCGGGUUCUCCCCUGGACCCUUCCUGGGCAGGCUAACGCUGAGGUGAUUUCUGCUAAUAACAGUCCCUCUCAGUUAUUCCCUGUGUGCUUUCUUUGCCCUCUCAGAGUUCCCCUAUUUAUUGUUCCUUUUCCUCAGAAAUGUGUGUCCACCAAAGGCCGCCUUCCCUUUCCCACUGGUUUUGGUAGUUUGGGCCUCCUUUGGUUCUUUUUUUUCUUUUUGUCACUGGUGCUCCGUACGAGUUACUGAUGGACUCUGGGGGACAAGAAAGCUGGUGUCGUAGACUGUCCUGGACUUCGGGGCAUAAUAAUGCUGGGGGACUCUGCCCUGGCCAGCCUGUUUCUGGAGCAGUAUUGUGGUCAGGUCUAGGCAUUUGCAUCUCAGAAAGGACCCUAGUGAAUGAAGCUGGAGAGCUCUGAGAGCAAGGCAGGCAAGCUGAUAAAGGACUUCAGGUUCAUGCCAUCAGAGGCAGCAGCUAUGGCAGAGAGAGUCAGGAAGAUCUGGGUUCCAGGCCUCUGACACCUACUGGCUCCAAAACCCUGGGCAAGCUGCUGAGCCUCUCAGUUCUCCAGGAACCUGGGUGAUUGUAAACAAAUGGUUCUGUGAAGUUUGGAUUCAGUCAAAGAGCUGCACUGGAGGACCUGGAGGGCCACAUGUGGCCUCCAGGCUGCAGGAUCUCCCCAGGAGUUCCUUUCCCCAGUGACAUCACAGGCCUGCAAGGGGGAAGAUAGUAUCAAUUGAAGGAGCUGGAGAUGUUUAGUCAAGAGAUUAGUGGGGCCAGUGGGCAGCAGGAUUGCUUUUUCAGAGUAUUUGAAGUAAAAUGGCCCAUGGAAAAAGGUAAUAGUUCUGCUUGGUGCUGCUUGUUUCUGGUUUGGCUUCACUGGUUGGUUUUUUCUGAGGGCCAUUUCGACUUUUCCUGGGUUCUCCUUUGCUUCCCCAGCCAAGUGGGCCCAUUGCCUGUUCCUGCUUUACUUUUGUAAGCCUUUACCCUCUCCUUCACUUUGUUUCUUUGGAGGCUGCAUCAUUACUAGUAGAAAACAGAUUGCAGA